AUGUGUGUCUGACAGAUACCGAGGUGGUCACAGCAAGUACCUGAGGGAGUUUUCCCAGCUCUGAGGGUUGUUCACAUCAUGAAUGUAGAGUGCCUAAAUCAGAGCCAUGCAACAUCUCCUUUCUCAAGGUGUGUAAUCCAGCUGAAAAGGCAGCUUCAGAAGUGCUCCAAACGCGUUUUGCACUUGCAUUGACGACUUUGUUGUCAUCACAAGUCUUCCUGAGGCCGCCACCUGGUUGGGUUUUCUCUCUGCUUUUUCAGGGUCAGCGCGAUUCCUGCACGCCUCUGUAAAGAGGGAAACUUGUGAAACGACGUGUCCCCUUCACUCCAUCACAGCCGGCAGCCGGUCUUGUUUUCAGUGAGGGCAGCGCUGGGCGGCCGGCUGUUGGUGGUCGGGCUGCGGGUUCCCGCUCUGUCACUGCCAGUGCGGUGCGAUUCCAGGCAGCUGGGCCGGCGCGGUUUCGCUCUCUGCCAGCGCUCAGGGCUGCCAUCAGAAGGGGAGCGCUGGCAGUGCUCACGCUGCUUUCCAUAGCACAAACUGGGAGCGCUCGGCUCGCUGCGGACUCCAGGAAUGAGUGUGCACAGAGGGUCCGUGUAGCUGCUCCUGCCUGCGCACGGGGUGCCGGCUUCGGGCUCUGCCUCCUACCCGCGGUUCUGGAGCCGCCAACUCCUCACCAGAAGAAUCUGCCAGAUAAGGAAGGGGUGCUUGCCAGAGAGCUGCUGCCACUGCUCCUCCCCAGGGAGGUGCUGCAGUGUGCUGCCCUGCUUCUCGGAUAGAGGACUCCAUGGGGCACCAUGACAAGCUGCAGGACUUCUUGCCCCAGCCCUGCAGGUAGAGGAGAAUCUUUAACAAGAUUGGGAAGGAAAGAGGAGACAAGUUCUCUCUACUAUUCCAUGGGAAAAUAAGCUGUUGGAUUAUUGUCUGGAAACUGUGUGAAGUGCCAAGAUGAGCAGUGAGAGGUCAGAGAACUCUGGUCCCUCCCCACUGAGUGAAGGCCUGAAGAGAAAGAGGGGAAGACCAAAGAAACAGCCACAGGAGGAGGCUGUGGGCUCACUGCCUGAGAAAAAGCCACGAGGAAGGCCAAAAGGAAGCAAGAAAGUGAGCAGUGUAACUGGACAAACGGUAGAACCUCCUGCUGGGAAAAGGCCCCGAGGAAGGCCCCGCAAGUGGCCUCAGCUGGUGACACAAGGAGCAUCUCAGGAAGGUGGCCCUCAGGGAAGCGGUGAUAUGGAUGUGAACUCAGCGCCUGCCACGCAAGGCAUCACUGGAAAAGAGGAUUUCAAGCCCAGCAAAGCUUCUGCUGCUCAGAGGUCUCUGAGCAGCAUCGCCACCGCAGCUCAGUAGUGUGCUGCCUGCUCAUGUCCUGCUGGAGCCAGAGGACAGGAAAGCAGCAGCACUCUUACUGUCAUAUUUCAAAUUGUUCUUUGUGAUGAUUUUGGCUGCACUUUCCCCUCUGUUGUCUGCUGGCUUACCCAAACAUCUAAGCAGACUUAAGGGACAAAACAACAAAUGAUAUCUCAGGGAGAUGCCUUUCUCAGUUUGUAGUACAUUUUUUGAGGAUACUAAACUUUUUUAACAGUGCUACAGUGACACAGUGCCUUGUGCUGCCACAGGUAGUGAUAGGUCAAUAGGGUGAUACUGUUGUCUCAGUUAUAUGCAGAUGCAAGAGAGGAAACCAAUCUGCAUAGCUGGCCAUUGGACUUGCAUCAUACCACCUCUGGUACAUGACAGCGUAGUCCAGGAAUUAAAUUUUGUUGAUUUGCUCAUAGGGACUGCAUCUGAAAGAGAGUUCUUCCCUCACCAUAACACAAAGGAGAAAAAAAAACCCAAAACCAACUUGAUGGCAUUUCCAGCUUACCUAAAGUUGUUGCUCCAGUGGUCAGCUACUUGGAUGCUUUAGAGGAAAGCUCACCUCCAGCACCUCGGGGAUUGACUCUGAAAUAUUUCUCCUAGUGUUAGCAGCUCAGGGCCGUCUUCCAUACCUCGCUGUUGCCUCGUGGCACAGCCCCUGAAUUUAAUAGCAGUUUUCAUGAACGUUUACAAAGCUUAGUCACAGCCACUGGAUUUCAUCACUUCCAAGGAGUGUCUGUAAAGAACCAAAGUGACUCGGUGGCUGCUGCUUUGCAGAGCUUCAGGAUACAACUGCAGUUACUGUUGCACCUGCAUGCAUAAUGUGCUCUGUGGGGUCCUCUAGUGUUGCAGCUGUGCAAAUAAAAGCUGGCUGCUACCUAGCAGCCAGGAGCACGCAUGUCAGCUCAUGCUUCCAGUGUCAAAGAGCAUCUUGCUACAUUCUGAAGAAUGGGGAUAUUUCCCUUAUCCCCUUGCAAACAGCGAAAUCCUGACAGUAUUUUCUAUCUGGUGGAUGCUCUGCCUGCCUAUUAAAGGAAUAAAUUGGGUGUUUCAAUUAUCUUUGACAGGAUGUAAAAUUGGCUAGCUCUACAGCGUUAAAUAUUUAAACAGAACAUAAUUGGCUUUAAAUUUAUGGCAGCUCAUAGCAGAAACCCAUGAAAUGGUGGUAUGUAUUGAGCUCAUUUAUUAUCCUUUCAUUGCGUCUGUUUCCUUAGCAGGUAUGUAUUUAAUACAAGAAAAUGUCUGCAGGCAUAAGAGUUAAGAGGAAGGGCUGACUGCAGAGAGAGAAUAGAAAAAAAACACGUUUUUCCCUCUUGGUCACUUUGUCCAAUGUGCCCGGUUCAGCAGCAACCAGGGGCCUGACCCUGCUGACUGUGCUCUCAGGUGUGCCCUAACAGUAGUUUCUUGUAUGCAGUUUGGUGGUUUGGGCAGAAAACCCCAUCUGAGAACUCUUUGUGCCUCCCCUGCCCCUUACCAGCGAAAUCAAGGAUCAGGUGCAUCACAGGGAGUGACCUGAAACCGCAGGAUGAGGCAGACUGCUGGGUGUGGAAGUCUGACUGCCUCCUGCUGCCUGCUCACAUCCAGCUGGGACAUUUGUGUAAGUCUGUCCCUGCUGACUGCUCCUCUGAGCAGGGAACCGGUCUUCCUCAGUGGACAUGAACUCAUCUGCAGUUUAUGUCUGCAUUCAAAGGGCACUCCAGUGGUCAAAAUAUCCUACCAACUUCUUUGUCUGACUGGUAAUUUAGACAGAUUUAGUAUUUUUCUUUCAAGACUGUACUGUGUAUUUCAUUGAGCCCUAUUACCUGAGAGCAAUAACUGCGACCACGUGGGACUGAAAUCUCAGUUUCUCUAAAUGGAUUUGGUUUGGCAUCUGUGCAACUCGAGCUUUUCCUAUGAAAACCAGGCAAACUUUUCAUAGCUGGUGACAUAGUGCAGGGAUAGAAACUGCCUCAGCCAGAUAGUAAAUGCUCUGGGAUCAGAUCAGUAGCAUUCCCUUGGGAAUUUAAGUACUCCUUCUCUUGGAAACAAAAAAUGUAGCAUUUGCUACCUCUCAGCUGGGAAACCAUGGGAGAAAACAGGAAUCUCUGAAAAUGUAAUUGCUUUAGAGCAACAGAAUGCCAUGCUGUUUUGGGCUACUCUGCACAUAGUCAAAAUCCCAAUCCAUAACUUCAGCUUCCACCUUUAUGCAGAGACUUGGAAUGAAAGCCUACAAAAGGCAAGCAGAAUUCCAGUCUUCGUCAGAGAAAUAGGGUCUCACUCUGGAUUUUCUUAUUUGAAAUGACCAACACUUUCUUUUUGCCAUAGCUAGUCACAUUGUCAGUGCAGCCAAAUCCUACCUCUAAGUAAAUGCCUUUCCAGUGUUUGUAAGCUUGGACAGUUUGGGUCUGAAUCGUAAACAGGUCACUGCAGUUGGAUUAGAACAGUGCAGAUGAGAGAUUUGUUAUCCAGCAAAGUUUUAAGAUUCUCAUAAAUGGUUCCGGUUUGGAUGUAGGCAUAAAAAAAGUUGGCAAUUUGCAAAUGAACCUUGAAGUUUAUUUUUAAUAAAGGUAUAAAACUCCUAGUA